UGGGGAAUUUUGGACAAUGGGCGAAAGCCUGAUCCAGCAAUGCCGCGUGUGUGAAGAAGGCCUUCGGGUUGUAAAGCACUUUUGUCCGGAAAGAAAUCCUUGGCUCUAAUACAGUCGGGGGAUGACGGUACCGGAAGAAUAAGCACCGGCUAACUACGUGCCAGCAGCCGCGGUAAUACGUAGGGUGCAAGCGUUAAUCGGAAUUACUGGGCGUAAAGCGUGCGCAGGCGGUUUGCUAAGACCGAUGUGAAAUCCCCGGGCUCAACCUGGGAACUGCAUUGGUGACUGGCAGGCUAGAGUAUGGCAGAGGGGGGUAGAAUUCCACGUGUAGCAGUGAAAUGCGUAGAGAUGUGGAGGAAUACCGAUGGCGAAGGCAGCCCCCUGGGCAAUACUGACGCUCAUGCACGAAAGCGUGGGGAGCAAACAGGAUUAGAUACCCUGGUAGUCCACGCCCUAAACGAUGUCAACUAGUUGUUGGGGAUUCAUUUCCUAGUAACGUAGCUAACGCGUGAAGUUGACCGCCUGGGGAGUACGGUCGCAAGAUUAAAACUCAAAUGAAUUGACGGGGUCAUAGCUGUUUCC
rnacentral:rRNA from 1 species